CCUACGGGUGACAGCAGUGGGGAAUAUUGCACAAUGGGCGAAAGCCUGAUGCAGCAACGCCGCGUGAAGGAAGAAGGCCUUCGGGUCGUAAACUUCUGUCCUUGGGGAAGAAGAACUGACGGUACCCAAGGAGGAAGCCCCGGCUAACUACGUGCCAGCAGCCGCGGUAAUACGUAGGUGGCAAGCGUUGUCCGGAUUUACUGGGUGUAAAGGGCGUGUAGCCGGGUUGACAAGUCAGAUGUGAAAUCCUGCGGCUUAACCGCAGAACUGCAUUUGAAACUGUUGAUCUUGAGUACUGGAGAGGCAGAUGGAAUUCCUAGUGUAGCGGUGAAAUGCGUAGAUAUUAGGAGGAACACCAGUGGCGAAGGCGGUCUGCUGGACAGCAACUGACGGUGAGGCGCGAAAGCGUGGGGAGCAAACAGGAUUAGAUACCCUUGUAGUC
rnacentral:rRNA from 1 species